rnacentral:rRNA from 1 species
GCUUGACCUCAAAUCAGGUAGGAUUACCCGCUGAACUUAA